rfam:Nicotiana sylvestris Nsyl_contig52533, whole genome shotgun sequence.
AUACCUUUUUUGCUUCUUGGCUAAGAUCAAGCGUAGUAUUUGUUCUUAUAAGUUCAAUAUUAUUACAUAGUAUGAAUUUGUACACAAUUUAGCAUCUUUA